rnacentral:tRNA from 1 species
CCGGACGUAGCGCAGAGGUCGGCGCACCGCUACGGCAUGGCGGAAACACCGGUUCGAAUCCGGUCGGACCGGACCG